rnacentral:misc_RNA from 1 species
GGAAGGAUCAUUAUCGAGUUUAUGGGAUCGUUUUUGGCGCAAGCUGAAAACUUUUUCAUAUACACAACAAUUCCCUGCGAAACGUUGAUUGUUCUUACAACAACCAUUAUAUUUAACCACACAAACGAACAAGCUGCUCGAAUGCCAAUGACGAUUCGGACAUUAAAACAAAUCACAAUCGUGACAACUUUUAACAACGGAUAUCUUGGCUCUCGCAACGAUGAAGAACGCAGCGAAAUGCGAUACGUAAUGUGAAUUGCAGAAUCUCGUGAAUCAUCAAAUCUUCGAACGCACCUGGCGUUUCCGCGUAAGCGGGAGCAUGCCUGCUUCAGUGCCAGUAAACCACCUCUGCCCUCUCUUGUUCGUUUUUGAGCGAGCGAGAGUACGCAGGAUUGUGAGCGUUCAGCGCGCAAGCUGCUGAUGCUUCAAGGUUAGUGGCAGCGCACGCCGGCCUGUCUCGUUUCGACGAGCAACAGGUAUCCUAGCGAGCGUAACGAGGUGAAUCCGUAUGGAUGCCCGCGUUACACCAUGCUCGCGCCUUUAACGGAUCGUAAACGGUCGUCUGCGCGGCAAUGCAUGAGCAAAUGUGCGUCGACUUUUCGCCUCGCGGCGAAAACACGUCGACACACCACUCAAACCAUUGGCCUGAAGUCAGGUAGAAGACCCGCUGAAUUGAAGCAUCUAAUUAAGCGGAGGAAAAGAAACUAACAAGGAUUCCCCUAGUAACGGCGAGUGAAGCGGGAAGAGCUCAACAUGAAAAUCACGGCGCGCAAGCGUCGGGAAUUGUAGUUUAUAGAGGCGUUUUCGGUGCCGAGCCGGGUAUAAGUCUCUCUGGAAAGGGACGUCAUAGAGGGUGACAACCCCGUACUGUGACCCCGGAAGGAUCGUGCACGCUACGAUACGCUUUCGACGAGUCGAGUUGCUUGGGAAUGCAGCUCUAAAUGGGUGGUAAAUUUCAUCUAAAGCUAAAUAACGGCGAGAGACCGAUAGCGAACAAGUACCGUGAGGGAAAGAUGAAAAGAACUUUGAAAAGAGAGUGAAAUCAGGGCUUGAAAUUGUUAAAAGGGAAACGAUUGAAACUAGUGAUACGGGCGCGACGAUCAGGGUCGUUGCCUGGGCGGCGCCGUCUCGCAUUCGUCAAAGGUGCGGUGGAUGGCGCGCGACGCUCGGGACUACGGCCUGCACUCGGCGUGCCGGUAGGCCAACGUGAGUUCGCCUGUGGCCGGGAGAAAGCCGCGCGGAAGGUAGGACGCGGCCGUCUCGCGACGGUCGUGUCUGUUAUAGACGCGCGGUGCUACCGGCUGGUGGACUGAGGUGCUCAGAGAGCAACGGCCGCGCCCGUCCAGUGAUGGACGGGUACGGUAACGCGGUCGCUGGUGGAUGCAGGUGCAAGUGCCUGCGCUGCCACACGGCUGCGGCACCGGGUAGAGCGGCAGUGACGUUGGCGAAAUGGUUUUAAUCGCCCCGUCUUGAAACACGGACCAAGGAGUCUAACAUGUAUGCGAGUGGUUAGGUGGCAAACCUAAGACGCGAAAUGAAGGUGAAGACACGGGAUGCCGUGUUGAGGUGCCAGGGCGCGGUCACACGCGCCUGCGCAUCGCCCGGUCUGGAUUUCUUUGAAGGAACCGAGGCAGAGCAUACCUGUUGGGGACCCGAAAGAUGGUGAACUAUGCGCCUGGCGUAGGGCGAAGCCAGAGGAAACUCUGGUGGAGGCUCGAAGCGAUUCUGACGUGCAAAUCGAUCGUCAAAUGUGGGUAUAGGGGCGAAAGACUAAUCGAACCAUCUAGUAGCUGUUCCCUC